UAAGUGAAGAGUUUGAUCCUGGCUCAGAGUGAACGCUGGCGGUAGGCCUAACACAUGCAAGUCGAACGGCAGCACAGAGGAGCUUGCUCCUUGGGUGGCGAGUGGCGGACGGGUGAGGAAUACAUCGGAAUCUACUCUGUCGUGGGGGAUAACGUAGGGAAACUUACGCUAAUACCGCAUACGACCUACGGGUGAAAGCAGGGGACCUUCGGGCCUUGCGCGAUUGAAUGAGCCGAUGUCGGAUUAGCUAGUUGGCGGGGUAAAGGCCCACCAAGGCGACGAUCCGUAGCUGGUCUGAGAGGAUGAUC
rnacentral:rRNA from 1 species